CUGCGAAUGGCUCAUUAUAUAAGUUAUCGUUUAUUUGAUAGUACCUUACUACUUGGAUAACCGUGGUAAUUCUAGAGCUAAUACAUGCUAAAAAUCCCGACUUCGGAAGGGAUGUAUUUAUUAGAUACAAAACCAAUGCCCCUCGGGGCUCUCUGGUGAUUCAUGAUAACUCGUCGAAUCGCACGGCCUUGCGCCGGCGAUGGUUCAUUCAAAUUUCUUCCCUAUCAACUUUCGAUGUUUGGGUAGUGGCCAAACAUGGUGGCAACGGGUAACGGAGGGUUAGGGCUCGACCCCGGAGAAGGAGCCUGAGAAACGGCUACUACAUCCAAGGAAGGCAGCAGGCGCGCAAAUUACCCAAUCCCGAUACGGGGAGGUAGUGACAAUAAAUACUGAUACAGGGCUCUUUUGGGUCUUGUAAUUGGAAUGAGUACAAUUUAAAUCCCUUAACGAGGAACAAUUGGAGGGCAAGUCUGGUGCCAGCAGCCGCGGUAAUUCCAGCUCCAAUAGCGUAUAUUAAAGUUGUUGUGGUUAAAAAGCUCGUAGUUGAAUCUUGGGCCUGGCUGGCCGGUCCGCCUCACCGCGUGUACUGGUCCGGCCGGGUCUUUCACUCUGCGGAACCACAUGCCCUUCAGUGGGUGUGGCGGGGAAGCAGGACGUUUACUUUGAAAAAAUUAGAGUGCUCUAAGCAGCCAAUGCUCGGAUACAUUAGCAUGGAAUAAUAAAAUAGGACGCGCGGUUCUAUUUUGUUGGUUUCUAGGACCGCCGUAAUGAUGAAUAGGGACAGUCGGGGCAUCAGUAUUCAGUGUCAGAGUGAAAUCUGGAUCUACUGAGACUACUACUGCGAAAGCAUUUGCCAAGGAUGUUUUCAUUAAUCAGGAACGAAAGUUAGAGGAUCGAAGACGAUCAGAUACCGUCGUAGUCUUAACCAUAACUAUGCCGACUAGGGAUCGGACGAUGUUAUUUAGUUGACUCGUUCGGCACUUACGAGAAAUCAAAGUGC
rnacentral:rRNA from 1 species